UUAAAAUUAAAAUUAAACACUUCCUUCCUUUUCUUUCACUUGCCAUUUCUGUUUCAUUGCAGGACCCAUCCCGUAGCAUGUAGAUCUCAAAUUCUAAACCUCUUCCAUUUCCACACUACAAUACAAUGUCUGCUUCUCAAACCCUAGGAGGUACGUCGCGCUGCGGCCGUGUGAUCGGCCCUUCACUCGACAAAAUCGUUAAAAACGCUGCUUGGCGGAAGCACUCCCACCUUGUCUCCGCUUGCAAAUCCGCUCUCGAUAAGCUCGAUUCUCUCACCGAUUCCUCUUCCGAUCCUAAUUCCCAUUCUCCUCUGCUCGGUGUCUCUCCCUCCGAAGCCGAAUUCCUUCUUCAGCCCUUAAUUCUCGCCUUAGAUUCCGCCUACGCUAAGGUCGUUGAGCCAGCACUCGAAUGCGCCUUCAAGCUCUUCUCUCUAGGCCUCCUCCGUGGCGAGAUCGAUACCAAUUCAUCUGUCAAUGCUGUUCUUUUUAAGAUGAUUGACGGUGUCUGCAAGGUCUGCGGCAUUGGAGAGGAAGCCGUCGAGCUUGCUGUGCUUAGAGUUUUGCUUGCCGCUAUUAGAUCUCCCUGCGUUUUGAUUCGUGGUGAAUGUUUGUUGAAUCUUGUUAGGACUUGUUACAAUGUUUAUCUUGGUGGCUUGAAUGGGACCAAUCAGAUCUGUGCAAAAUCUGUUCUUGCCCAGAUUAUGCUUAUUGUUUUUACACGGGUUGAGGAGGAUUCCUUGGAUGUUAGUAUUAAAACUGUUUCAGUUAGUGAAUUGUUGGAAUUCACGGAUAAGAGUUUGAAUGAAGGCAGUUCCAUAUAUUUUUGCCAGAAUUUUGUUAAUGAGGUUAUGGGAGCUAGUGAGGGGCUUCCAGAUGCCAAACUAUUGUUGCAUAGUACGUCAGUAAUAUUGCAGAAUGGUAGUGGUGACGGUCCUGUUCCUGUUGGUGAUUCUAACGUGACAAGUAGUGCUGAGUUGGGUGGUGGAGAAGGAAAUGAUGGAGCUGAAUCAGUUGGUGUUGGUGCUGGGGCGAGUAAGAUUAGGGAGGAUGGUUUUCUUCUUUUUAGGAACCUAUGCAAAUUGUCCAUGAAAUUCUCAUCUCAGGAGAACCCGGAUGAUCAAAUUCUUCUUAGAGGUAAGAUUUUGUCGCUCGAGUUGCUCAAGGUGGUUAUGGACAAUGGUGGUCUAAUUUGGCGCAACAAUGAAAGGUUUCUCAAUGCUGUUAAGCAAUACCUUUGCUUGUCAUUGUUGAAGAACAGUGCACUGUCGGUCAUGGCUAUUUUUCAGCUUCAGUGUUCUAUCUUUAUGAUCUUGUUAUCAAAAUUCAGAUCAGGAUUGAAGGCAGAAAUUGGAAUAUUCUUUCCCAUGCUCAUCCUCAGGGUGCUGGAGAAUGUUAACCAGCCUAGUUUUUUACAGAAAAUGAUUGUACUGAAUUUUUUGGAGAAGAUUGCUCAGGAUUCACAGAUUAUAGUUGAUGUUUUUGUGAAUUAUGACUGUGAUGUGGAUUCUCCAAACAUAUAUGAAAGGAUUGUCAAUGGCCUUUUGAAAACUGCUCUAGGACCACCUCCUGGGUCAACCACAACUUUAUCUUCAGCCCAGGAUAUUACUUUUCGGCAUGAGUCUGUGAAGUGCUUGGUUGGCAUCAUCAGAUCAAUGGGUGCUUGGAUGGAUCAACAAUUCAGAAUAGGAGAGUCUUAUGUGCCUAAGAGCCUGGAGAGUGAUGCUUCAACAGAGAAUUAUUCAAACCCAAGUGGGGAAGAUGCAAGUAGCCCUGAUUAUGAUUUACAUGCAGAAUCAAACUCUGAAAUGUCAGACACUGCCAGCCUUGAACAGCGUCGGGCUUAUAAAAUUGAACUCCAGAAAGGUAUCUCCCUAUUCAAUAGGAAACCUUCCAAGGGCAUUGAGUUUCUGAUAAACACCAAAAAAAUUGGUGCUUCCCCAGAAGAAGUUGCUGCCUUCCUGAAAAACGCUACUGGCCUAAAUGAAAUCAUGAUUGGUGACUAUUUGGGUGAAAGAGAUGAGUUUUGUCUGAGAGUUAUGCAUGCUUAUGUAGACUCAUUUAAUUUUAAGCUGAUGGAUUUUGGUGAAGCAAUAAGGUUUUUCUUGCGGGGCUUCAGGUUACCUGGAGAGGCGCAGAAGAUUGACCGCAUCAUGGAAAAGUUUGCAGAGCGCUAUUGUAAAUGCAAUCCAAAUUCAUUUACUAGUGCAGAUACAGCCUAUGUUCUUGCUUACUCUGUGAUAAUGCUCAACACAGAUGCUCAUAACAGCAUGGUGAAAGAUAAGGUUUGCUUGCAGAACCUCUUGCCAUUUAUCAUUGGCCCAGCAAUCAUGACUAGUGAGCUUUGCCUUCUCCUUAUUUUUCUCUUUUUUCCUCCCUUGAUGAGAAAUAUGCUUGCCUUUGAUAGUUGUUGCCGACUUUCUGGAAAAAAGAAUUGUUGAUUUCCUUAUUGAUCUAGAGAUAUGGGUUAUUUACAAUAAGGAAUAUUUGUUUAUAGGCCUAGUUUUUAUGAUCUUUUUGUGAUGAUUUAAUCAAAUUGAUGUUUCAAUUCCUGUCAAUGACAUUAUUGACUUCAUAGAUAUUUGGUGGUAAAAUCUCAUUAAAUUGUGUUUGCUCUCAAUUUCUAGUGUUAUUGGAAAAAUUUUUGAAAGGUGCAGUUGAACAAGUAUAAAGAACAUGAAAUGAAAUUCAGAAUGUGUCUAUAAAUGUGGUACAGUUUUCUUAUCCACCUAAUCCAUAAAUAGGGCUAUGCUAUGGUUUAUCUAUGUAUAGAUAAUUGCGGUUUUUACUUGGGUCUUUUUUAAUUCUAAGUGUUCUGCAUUGGGUGCAUUUUAGAUGACUAAAGCUGAUUUCAUCAGAAACAACCGUGGAAUAAAUGAUGGCCAGGAUUUACCUGAAGAAUAUCUGGGUACCAUCUAUGAUAAAAUUGUGAAAAAUGAAAUUAAAAUGAAUGCUGAUUCUUCUGCUGCACAAAGCAAACAGGCAAAUAGCUUAAAUAAGCUAUUGGGUUUGGAUGGUAUACUCAAUUUAGUCACUUGGAAGCAAACAGAAGAAAAGCCAUUAGGAGCAAAUGGACUCCUGAUAAGGCACAUCCAAGAACAGUUCAAGGCAAAGUCAGGGAAAUCAGAGUCUGUGUUUCAUACUGUAACAAAUGCAGCAAUCUUGAGGUUCAUGGUUGAGGUCUGCUGGGGUCCUAUGCUGGCAGCGUUUAGUAUGACACUUGACCAGAGUGAUGAUAAACUUGCUACAUCUCAGUGCUUACAGGGUUUUCGAUAUGCAGUGCAUGUUACUGCAGUAAUGGGAAUGCAAACCCAGAGAGAUGCUUUUGUAACAUCUAUGGCCAAGUUUACAUAUCUCCAUAAUGCUGCGGAUAUGAAGCAAAAAAAUGUUGAUGUGGUGAAGGCAAUAAUAUCAAUUGCAAUUGAAGAUGGUAAUUAUCUUAAGGAGGCUUGGGAGCAUAUUUUAACAUGCCUAUCCCGAAUUGAGCAUCUGCAGCUGCUGGGAGAGGGUGCACCUCCUGAUGCAUCUUUCUUGACUGCAUCCAAUGUUGAAGCAGGUGAAAAGGUAUUGAAGUCAAUGGGUUAUCCAUCUCUAAAGAGAAAGGGAACUCUCCAGAAUCCAGCUGUAAUGGCUGUUGUUAGAGGUGGUUCAUAUGACAGCACUACAGUUGGAGUGAAUUCUCCAGGACCAGUAACAGCAGAGCAGAUCAAUCAAUUCAUCUUGAAUUUGAAUUUGCUUGACCAGAUAGGGAAUUUUGAGUUGAACCAUGUAUUUGCUAAUAGCCAGAGGUUGAACAGUGAAGCAAUAGUAGCUUUUGUGAAAGCUCUUUGCAAAGUUUCAAUGGCAGAGUUGCAGUCCCCAACAGAUCCUCGUGUAUUUAGUCUCACAAAACUUGUUGAAAUUACGUAAGAUCAUAAAAAUUGCUACUGUCAUAUGAGUAUGAUGCUAAAAUAAAGAGCUUUUGAAGUGGAUUUAGUGUUCAAAGACUAUUUUUCUUUCUCAAAUCUAUUGAUUUGUUUAAGUAGUUCCAUGAGGAUUUUUAUUUUCCUUUCCUUUCUUCAAAUUAUGUCUAAGGGAAAUGUGAGGAUGGAUCUCUUAUCUGAAUUUUUGCUGAAAAUAUUUUAGUCUCAGUCAUGCAAAUGAUGAGAAAUAGGAGUCUUUAAUAAUACCCGAAUUGUUUUCUUGACAGGCAUUACAAUAUGAAUCGCAUAAGACUAGUUUGGUCCCGAAUAUGGAAUGUUUUGUCCGAUUUUUUUGUAUCAGUUGGCCUGUCAGAAAAUCUCUCUGUUGCAAUUUUUGUUAUGGAUUCACUGCGGCAACUUGCUAUGAGAUUCUUAGAGCGUGAGGAGCUGGCAAAUUACAACUUCCAGAAUGAAUUUUUGAGGCCAUUUGUGAUUGUCAUGCAGAAGAGCAGCUCUACUGAAAUUAGGGAACUAAUUGUUCGCUGUGUUUCUCAGAUGGUACUUAGUCGCGUUAAUAAUGUAAAAUCUGGCUGGAAAAGUGUUUUUAUGGUUUUUACAGCUGCUGCCGCUGAUGAGCGUAAGAAUAUUGUCUUGUUGGCAUUUGAAACCAUGGAAAAAAUAGUGCGGGAAUAUUUUCCUUACAUAACUGAGACAGAGACAACAACUUUCACAGAUUGCGUUAGAUGCCUUACAACCUUCACAAAUAGCAGAUUUAAUAGUGAUGUAAGCCUCAAUGCAAUUGCGUUUCUUCGGUUUUGUGCUGUCAAACUUGCAGAUGGUGGACUUGUCGGGAAUGAAAAUAGCAGGGCGGAUGAUUCAUCCACUCCGAUGGUAAAUGAGGUUGCUUCAGAUAUGCAGGCCAUCAUUGAAAAAGAUGAUCAUGCAUCUUUUUGGAUUCCAUUACUCACAGGACUAUCAAGACUAACAUCUGAUCCCAGAUCAGCCAUUCGAAAGAGUGCUUUGGAAGUGCUAUUUAACAUUCUCAAUGAUCAUGGUCAUCUUUUCUCACGAUCUUUUUGGAUUGAUGUUUUCAACUGUGUUAUUUUACCCAUAUUCAGUAAUGUACGUGACAAGAAAGAUAAUUUUAUUGAAGAUGGUCAGCAUUCACCAACUUCACCAUCUCCACAUCAUGAAGGAAGUGCAUGGGAUCCUGAUACUUCUGCAGUGGCAGCUCAGUGUCUAGUAGAUUUAUUUGUUAGCUUUUUCAAUAUAGUAAGGUCUCAACUAUCAAGUCUGGUAUCAGUACUGACUGGAUUCAUUAGAAGUCCCAUUCAAGGGCCUGCUAGCACUGGGGUUGCUGCCUUAUUGCGGUUAGCAGGUCAACUGGGCAGUAGACUUUCUGAGGAUGAAUGGAGAGAGAUCUUUCUAGCUCUAAAGGAAGCUGCUGCAUCAACAUUACCUGGUUUUGUGAAGGUUUUAAGAAGCAUGGAUGAUAUUGAGAUGCCUGAUGCCUCUGAAUCUUAUGCUGAUGUUGAUAUCUCGUCUGAUCAUAGCUUCACCAAUGACGAUCUGGAGGAUGACAAUCUCCAAACUGCAGGUUAUGUGGUUUCAAGAGUAAAAAGUCACAUUGCUGUGCAGUUACUAAUUAUUAAGGUUGUGACUGAUUUAUGCAAAGCACACAUGCAAUUCUUGUCGGCUUCCAAUGUUGGAAUUCUUCUUGAUAUAUUUUCAUCUAUUGCAUCACAUUCCCACCAACUGAACUCUGAGGUGAUUUUGCUGAAGAAACUGAAGAAAGCUUGUUCUGUACUGGAGCUUUCUUAUCCUCCCAUGGUUCAUUUUGAAAAUGAGUCGCACCAAAAUUACCUGAACUUCCUUCAUGAUUUGCUAUUGGAUAAUCCACCCAUGUCUAAGGAGAUGAAUAUAGAAUUGCGGCUUGUGGAAGUAUGUGCAAAAAUAUUGCAGAUAUAUCUGAAUUGUACUGGGUCUCAAUCCGCACGUCAGAAACCGGUUAAUAAGCUCGUGGUACACUGGAUUCUUCCAUUGGGAUCAGCCAAAAAGGAAGAACUGGCAGCAAGAACUACUUUGCUUGUGUCAGCUUUGCGUGUACUGAGUGAUUUAGAAAGGGAUUCCUUUAGGAGGUAUGUGUCACAAUUCUUUCCUUUGUUUGUAGAUCUUGUGCAGAGUGAGCAUAGCUCAGGAGAAGUACAGGACAUUCUAAGCAACAUUUUCCAAUCAUGUAUAGGCCCAGUAAUAAUGGGAUGAAAUCGUUACUGUAGUAGUACACCCAAGGAUAGCUUCAUUAAAUCUCAUUUUUGAUCUCUUUAAUUAGCCGGAGUAUGAGCCUUUAUAUUUUUUACUUAUAUCAUAUAUAUUUUUGUUGUAUCCUAAGGCUGAAAAUUAUCUGCACAAAUGUAAAAGAAUGUCCAUGUAAACAUCGUGUUGAUAUACAAGAUCGAUUGCAAUAGCGAUAGUAAUAAAGAUAAGUUUUUGGUUCUUGUUUUCAA
rnacentral:misc_RNA from 1 species